rnacentral:rRNA from 1 species
GAUGAACGCUGGCGGCGUGCCUAAUACAUGCAAGUCGAGCGAACGGACGAGAAGCUUGCUUCUCUGAUGUUAGCGGCGGACGGGUGAGUAACACGUGGAUAACCUACCUAUAAGACUGGGAUAACUUCGGGAAACCGGAGCUAAUACCGGAUGAUAUUUUGAACCGCAUGGUUCAAAAGUGAAAGACGGUCUUGCUGUCACUUAUAGAUGGAUCCGCGCUGCAUUAGCUAGUUGGUAAGGUAACGGCUUACCAAGGCAACGAUGCAUAGCCGACCUGAGAGGGUGAUCCGCCACACUGGAACUUAGACACGGUCCAGACUCCUACGGGAGGCAGCCGUAGGGCAUCUUCCGCGAUGGGCGAAAGCCUGACGGAGCACCGCCGCGUGAGUUAUGAAGGUCUUCGGAUCGUAAAACUCUGUUAUUAGGGAAGAACAUAUGUGUAAGUAACUGUGCACAUCUUGACGGUCCCUAAUCAGAAAGCCACGGCUCACUACGUG